rnacentral:rRNA from 1 species
AUUGAACGCUGGCGGCAGGCCUAACACAUGCAAGUCGAGCGAGCGGCGGACGGGUGAGUAAUGUAUGGGGACUGCCCGAUAGAGGGGGAUAACUACUGGAAACGGUGGCUAAUACCGCAUACUAUCGGAUAACCCAUAUGGGUUUAGCUAGUAGGUGGGGUAAAGGCUCACCUGGGCGACGAUCUCUAGCUGGUCUGAGAGGAUGAUCAGCCAAACUGGAACUUAGACACGGGCCAGACUCCUACGGAGGCAGCAGUGGGGAAUAUGGCGCAAGGGGCGCAAUCCUGAUGCAACCAGGCCGCGUGGAUGAAGAAGGCCUUAGGGUUUUAAAGUACUUUCAGCGGGGAGGCGGUACUCGCAGAAGAAGCACCGGCUAACUCCGUGCCAGCAGCCGCGGUAAUUC